UACGAAGGGGGCAAGCGUUGUUCGGAAUUACUGGGCGUAAAGGGCGCGUAGGCGGUCUGUUGCGUCGGGAGUGAAAACUUACAGCUUAACUGUGAGCGUGCUUCCGAUACGGGCAGACUUGAGGUAUUCAGGGGAGGAACGGAAGUUCCUGGUGUAGCGGUGAAAUGACGCAGAUAUCAGGAGGAACACCGGUGGCGAAGGCGGUUCUCUGGGAAGUAUCCGUGACGCUGGAGGAGCGAAAGUGUGGGGAGCGAAACAGG
rnacentral:rRNA from 1 species